CCACCUCAGGCAGGCUGAGCAAAUUUGAGCUGAGAUGAUCAUUAGUGUCUGGCUUUCCCAGAGCAGAAUGUGAUCUCUGAUUUAGCCCAGGUGAAGCAGGAAGCAGAAAAUAGGGCCGUGGGAAGAACACCUCCGGUUCUGCACCAGGGAAAGCUGCUCUGGGGUGUCUGCCAACACCCAGGUCUUCCCUCUGACCCUCAUUGGCCGGUCGAGGGGUCUCUCCGCUCCGCUGUGAUCCUCAGAGGCUGAGACUGUCCUGUGCAGCUAUUGGUUGCUUUGUGCUGAGCGGAGGACUCUGUGGUUGUUGGAAAGCAGUAUUAAAAGCCAAGGAGUGUCUCCGGUUGCAAGACUCCCCAGGCAUUAGCCCUCACUCCACUUCACGUCAGCCCAGGGAGUCCCUCCGUCUUCCUGGCCGAUGCACCUCGGACCGGCGACACACAGAGAUGAGCAUGUCCAGACUGCCCAGAGUGAGCAGAUUAAAGCAGUUUUGGAGGGCAGUAAUUUGCUGGAUGGAGACUCUGUGCUCUGACCUUUGAUGGUAUUUUCUGCGCACAUCUGAGCCAAGUUACUGAUUGGAAAGAUUUCCAGAUCCUCUCUUCAUUCCGGGGGAGCCGGUCAUGCAAAGACAUCUGUGGAUUGCUGUUAACCGCCGCGGAAUUAGAAAUAGAGGUGGAUGAAGAAGGUUGGAAGCUGGCCAAGCCCUUUUCAGAGAUAAUGGUCAUAUUAUAGCAUCC
rnacentral:lncRNA from 1 species